rnacentral:lncRNA from 1 species
AGGACUGUGCAUCACAAACACAGCCAAUCCCAGGCUGCUCUGUCUGUGGACCGUCAGAGGACACUGCCCUCUUGCCUGGUACAGAAGGAGACAGUGAUUGUUUGGGGGUGGGUAAGGCACAAACUCUGGCAUGUGAAGGAGUCUCUGAAGUUAGCACCCUUCUAAGAAUCCAAACUCUACAAGCAGAGGUUACCAAGCACAGAGGCGUGGCACCCAAGGUCACACAGGUAACACACAUGUGGAGCUUGGGGUUAAAGCCAGGCAGACAUGAGGUCACCUCAUGUCACCAUAGGAGGCUCUGCCGAUUGCCCUGGGGGACACACACACCUGCGGCUGCUUCCAACAGCUGUGCCCAACCUCAGAGGAUGAAGAUGAUUCACAUUUGAGGCUCUUCAGAAUAAUGUGCCUGGCUCUAAGGCAGCUUCCAAAGAGGACAUUCAGCCUGCUAUGGCUGUGAAGAUAUUCAACCCGAUGUCAUCCACUGUGAGGCAGAGGUUCUGGCAUUUUGUGGACAAAGCAGCCGGGAUUCUGUCACCUCGCUCUGCAUACACCAGCAUUUAAUGCAAGUGGAAGGAGGGCCCGGGAAACUCACGCUGUGACCUGAUAAAUGGCAUGCAGAGGAGUGUGCGAUUUUCUCAGGCCAGCCGUGGGGAGCUGUCAGAGCCAUCCAAAU